rnacentral:rRNA from 1 species
GCUUUAUCUUAAUUGGAGCUUUCAGGCUCUUAUACGAUUUUGAUGGGAGAUCAGUAGAAAUAAGUCCUCUACUAUUAUAUUAAUCUUACUAGUAUUUCCUAACUUUAUAUGUGUGACUAGCUACUCUAGGGAUAACAGCGCAAUUUCUCCCGAAAGAUGGUAUUGGAGGGGAAGAUUGCGACCUCGAUGUUGGCUUUAGAUACCCUAGAGGCGUAGAAGCUUCU